rnacentral:rRNA from 1 species
GGAGGGAAACGAAUGCAGCUGAAGUGGCUCCGUUUCAGGCUCAGGGGAUGCCGGGAGAAUUGUCCGAGUCGUGUCAGCUUCGGCGGCCGGCUGGGCUGUCUCCAGGUCCAGCACUCCUGUUGGGAGCCGGCCAACAGCAGUUGUCCGCGGCCCAGAAGGUGAACGUAUAGCCGUCCACGACUGAGGAGAGCAGCGCAGACUCUCGGUCCGCCUCUGUCCGUUUCACCGCGGCAGGGGCAGUGUCUGCUGACGGCUCGUCUGCUCGGUCGGGGGGUUGGGCACGCCCUGCGCUCUAGUUGUUGGUGCUCGAAUGGCUGCAUCCGACCCGUCUUGAAACACGGACCAAGGAGUGCAACAUGCGUGCGAGUCUUUGGGUGGCAAACCCGCUGGCGCAAUGAAGGUGAAGGCAGGCCACAUCGUCGACCGAUCCCGGGCUACGCUGUGGUGGGAUUUGAGUAAGAGCGUGCCUGUUGCGACCCGAAAGAUGGUGAACUAUGCCUGAAGAGGGUGAAGCCAGAGGAAACUCUGGUGGAAGCUCGCAGCGAUUCUGACGUGCAAAUCGAUCGUCAAAUUUGGGUAUAGGGGCGAAAGACUAAUCGAACCAUCUAGUAGCUGGUUCCCUCCG